CGACGAAGCGCGCACCACGACUCUGAUCGCGAGAAUCUUUCUUAGCUGUUGAGAGCGUGGCGUGCUUCAGAGGAAAAGAAAAAAAUAACACGGUGGGGAAAAUAAGAAAUGCUCCGCCGCAUUAUCUUAUCUGCAUUAUCAUACACACUGCGAUAUGUUGGCCUCGCGAGAGCAACUUUGCCGAGAAAACCGACACUAGCGUUCAGUUCCGCGUUUGAUGUGACCAACGUUUCCAUGAUCCUGAGAAUCGAUUACUAUUAAUGGUAUUAUUGUUAGUAGUAUCGUUAUCGUUUUGGUGAGCAGUUCGCAGAUUUUUAUUUCGUUUUUUCUUCUGCGUAUACAUGGAAAGUUUAAGAACUCGAAAAUACGUGGAAUACACGUAACGUGCAAAAAUGUAUUACAUAAAGAUGUUUCGAGCCAGCUGUAAAUGCAACGAGACACAUUGGUUCGUUUGCGAUGGCGAAACGAAAGGAGACAGAAAGAGAGGAAAGAUAUAAUAUACGAUAGAAUUAUGGAGGUCAGAUUGAAGAAAGAAAAAUGAGGGCCAGUGAGGACUUCUGAGAAUUCUUCGUCUUCUCCUCGCGAAAUCGUCUUUUCGAUAAAUCCAAAGCGUGCGCUCUGGCACGGUUCUCCAAUUUUGAUAUCCCCAUCUUCUUUCAACGACCAAGAAGACUCGUAAAUAAUAUUAAAAAUGGCUUUAUCGCUAAACUGCGGAUUUUCACGUACGUGUACCACGUAUUUAUAGAAAAUUUGAAGGUGUAACGUUCCACGAAAUGCGCACACGAUAUCCAAUAAAGUACAGCGCUUUCUACACUGUUCGGUGAACCGCAACGAGGCACAAAGACAGUUCGAUUGUCUCUGAGAGUUUUUAUUCGCGUCGAGGGAGUUGCAAAACUCGUGGAACGCGGCUGAAUGAGCCCACGCGCAUUCCCUGACUGUCGUACGCGGUCCAAGAUAUUGACAUUGGCCCUUUUCCACCAGAUCUGAUCGUUUUAUUAUGCAGCCAGCGGAACUCGGUUUCGAGGAUUGGCACAGUUUCAAGUGCACCAAGCUACUCAGACGUUUCACGACCCAGUGCUAGCCUCCGUCGGUUUAUACACGUCCUAAAACAUUUAUAUCACGGUCGAUAUUUCACGGUAAAUUGGAAGAAACGAUCUCGAAUAACGUUAUAUCCAAGCAGACGAAAAAUCCAAUGGCCAUUCGUUUCAGAAAACAAUCGAUAUUAGAUCGUCGAGAUUAUGCGAGUAUUCGAUCAAAAUAAUGAAAUUAUCUUUACUUUGGAUCGUAUUUGAAUAAUUCGAGUGUUCGAUAAAAAUAAUGGAGAAAUUUUUCAUGCACGUCCGCGACGAGAAACAUCGUUUUACGAUAUAUUUCUAAGAAGAAAACGUUUCUGUAGGACAUUUGCUGCUAUACAUCGAUACACCUUCAGGUUUCUCGUCAAAAAAUCGAACUUGAGAAAACGUUCUUUUCGACGUUACACGCGACCCUUAAAACAAUAGAACUGCGUAUCGAGAAGAUUUUCGUUGAACAAUGAACGAGGCAGAUACUCGACUAAUUUCAUUUAGCCGAAGCAUCCUGUACAUUCUACAGAAAUUUGCAUACACGCGACCUAUAAUCUAUAAUCCAUAAGCUAACGUGAAUUAAAUUGCCUACAUACAGGGUGUUCGCGUUCAGAAGCGAAGAAAAACGUAACGCGAUAUUCUCGUAUUUGUGUCUCGCUUGUCUUAAAUUCUACGAAAUUAAAGUUGCCAUAUCUUUGAGUCUUUCACGCUCCGCUGCCUUCGUUCGAGAGGAAUACAAAGAGAUUGCCAUAUGGCGAUCGUAUGGCAGAAAAUUGCAAGCUGAAAACAUUUUUCGAAAAUGUGUAUCUCUUUGCAGCUUCGCCCUCGAAAUGUAAAUCGAAAAAGCAAAUAAAAAAAAAAAAGUGAAAAAUACGCAGAAGGUGGAACUGCUCGAUUUUCGAGCCCAAGCGUCACCCUAAUGCGGCAACUAAGCGAUUGCGGAUUUUGUCAUUAGGUGGCAAUGAUAAAAUUCGCAAUCACUUAGUUGCCAGCCCAAUAUGAAAAGAAUGCGAAACAAGGCAGUCAGAUGCCAAUUUGUAGGGCGAAGCGCUGGAGCGUAGCAGAGGCAAAUACAUUUUGGAUGGCCGGGAAACAGAGUAGGUGUAUUUUUGUAUGCGAAGAGCAAUCGGAUACACUGAAACGUUUGUUAGAGGACUGCGGAGGAAUAGAGGAUAGAAGCGUAACGCACGCGUUAGAGAAAACUGUACGAGAUCGAGAUGGAAAAAAGACAGAAUGAUAGAAUGGUUGAGGAAAUGAGAAAGAAGCGAGUGUGUAUGAGGAAGGAUAGGGGAAAAGGAAGAGCAGACGUGGGAACGCCAAAAAGAGAAUGUGCGACUAACAUGUGAGAUUCGAUUUAAGUAAUUAACCGAGAGUAAAUAGAAUGUAACUGAGAGUAAGUUCAAGCAUUAGAUUGUCCCAAAAGUUUCUUUCGUUCUUGUCCCGGUAGGACAAGAUGGAUCACACGUAA